UCCUGAUCCUGGUUCUAAUCCUGAUCCUGGUUCUAAUCCUGGUCCACCAACUAAAGCCUCACUCUGGUCUUCUCUGAGCUACAUCAUGCUGGCUCUGCGUUUUUCAGCUCUCAUCUUAAUGAUCGUGACCACAGCUUUGGUCUUCAGCCUCAAAGGCUACAUCAAAUCACUGCACAAAGGAAACAAUGUGCAUGAGGAAGAUGAUGAGGAUGUCAUCGAACUCACCUAUGAAAAUGUAGAAGCACGCCCUCCUGCUGCUGAAGUGCACUGAUCAACAACUUCUGGAUCAACUUUAACUCACAAGAACGUUGAGCGUCAUCGGAGUCAUUCUUCUGAUCGAUCCAAGCUUUGAGUUAAAAUGACAUGAAUGUGAUUUUAGUGGCUAUUUGUCCAAGAAAUGUUAAUAACGUUUAAAUCAAACAUGAUCAGACGGUCACUGAGGCACAGCAGGGAUGUGCUGUACGCAGACAAAAUAAGUCUUUUGUCCAUGCAAGGGAUCAACAUUUUUACAUAAUUUUAUCCAAAAUCAAGCAAGCAAACAAAAAAAGAAAAUCAUGGCUCCUGCUGCUUUAAACCAUGGGCCCACCCAGGUGCAUGCUGGUCCUCUAGAGCUGCAAAUCUACCUACAGUAUAUAACCUCAGGUGCCUACAGUGUUACCCGAUCACCAAGCAAAACAAAAUAUAGAAAUGAUGCAACAACAAAACAUACUACACAAAUAGCAGGCAAAAGUACAGAAGGGUUAACAUGUCUGGUUUUCUCUUGAUAUGAGUGAAUUACAGUCGUUUUCUUGAGGUCUUGACAAAUUAACUCCAUAUCACAGAGUUGCUAUUUAGAGAUAUCGACAUAAAUAAGACGAAAAUCGUGGAAAAUUAUUGGAAAUAUCGAAUCAUCAGGAAAACAGAGUCAAAAAAUAAAUAUGUAUCUGUCCACUUCCGUACAUAAGACAAUAUGAUCAAAAAUCUCAUCUUAAUCAAGCUCAAGUUUAGGAUUUUCAAAUAAAUAUUAUUGGUAAAUUAAUAAAUACUCAACUAGAUAAAAAUCUCCUGUAGGGAUGAUUAUUUGAUUAUUUUAUGUUUAAGAUAUAAUAUUAUAUAAUGAAACUAAUGAUGUUUUUUCACCAUCCAGUAGUUUGGAAUAUGUGUUUGGAGAAUAUCAAAAUGAUGAAGACAAUCUGACUGUAUAUAAUAUAUUACCAUAUUUUAGAAAACUAACAUCACUCCCAAUGUCUUAAAACUAGAAAAGGUUUACUUCACAAUUAACAUCGACUGAAUCUAAGGAAAUAACCUGUUGGCUAGUUAACCAGCCUGUUAGCUAAGCUAGCAAGCUGUCAUACUGUCUCUCCGAAGUCCACCUCAAAAGUUAUAUUUUUAUAAAUGUGUUUGAAGCAAAUUGUGGCGUUUAUUGUUGUUGUUUUUUAUUAUUAUUAUUUCGUGUUCAGGGGAAACUUACAUUUAAAUAAAGUAGUAUGAUAAAUGGUCAGUUACAAAGAAAACAGUUAAGAAAAAGAAACGAGUAAGGGUAGUCAAAUAUGGUGGUUAAUCAUAUCCUGGAAAAAGAAGGUAUAAGGCUGAUAUGCAGUCAUAGAGCAGUUAAUAUCUGCACAAUUCAUAUAACGUGACGAUCAAGUUUAUACAUAUACAAAAGUUGUAGCUUAUAGUGCAACAAAGCCAGAGUAUAGGCGCUUGCUGUUUGUCUGUAUGUAAACAAUGUUUUUGUCAAAAGCGGCCUUAAAAUCCUUCAAUAAACUCAACAUUUAUGAACAA